rnacentral:rRNA from 1 species
AACGAACGCUGGCGGCAUGCCUAACACAUGCAAGUCGAACGAGACCUUCGGGUCUAGUGGCGCACGGGUGCGUAACGCGUGGGAAUCUGCCCCUUGGUUCGGAAUAACAGUUAGAAAUGACUGCUUAUACCGGAUGAUGACGAAAGUCCAAAGAUUUAUCGCCGAGGGAUGAGCCCGCGUAGGAUUAGCUAGUUGGUGAGGUAAAGGCUCACCAAGGCGACGAUCCUUAGCUGGUCUGAGAGGAUGAUCAGCCACACUGGGACUGAGACACGGCCCAGACUCCUACGGGAGGCAGCAGUGGGGAAUAUUGGACAAUGGGCGAAAGCCUGAUUCAGCAAUGCCGCGUGAGUGAUGAAGGCCUUAGGGUCGUAAAGCUCUUUACCAGGGAUGAUAAUGACAGUACCUGGAGAAUAAGCUCCGGCUAACUCCGUGCCAGCAGCCGCGGU